AGUUAGCGGCGGACGGGUGAGUAACACGUGGGUAACCUGCCCAUAAGACUGGGAUAACUCCGGGAAACCGGGGCUAAUACCGGAUAACAUUUUGAACCGCAUGGUUCGAAAUUGAAAGGCGGCUUCGGCUGUCACUUAUGGAUGGACCCGCGUCGCAUUAGCUAGUUGGUGAGGUAACGGCUCACCAAGGCAACGAUGCGUAGCCGACCUGAGAGGGUGAUCGGCCACACUGGGACUGAGACACGGCCCAGACUCCUACGGGAGGCAGCAGUAGGGAAUCUUCCGCAAUGGACGAAAGUCUGACGGAGCAACGCCGCGUGAGUGAUGAAGGCUUUCGGGUCGUAAAACUCUGUUGUUAGGGAAGAACAAGUGCUAGUUGAAUAAGCUGGCACCUUGACGGUACCUAACCAGAAAGCCACGGCUAACUACGUGCCAGCAGCCGCGGUAAUACGUAGGUGGCAAGCGUUAUCCGGAAUUAUUGGGCGUAAAGCGCGCGCAGGUGGUUUCUUAAGUCUGAUGUGAAAGCCCACGGCUCAACCGUGGAGGGUCAUUGGAAACUGGGAGACUUGAGUGCAGAAGAGGAAAGUGGAAUUCCAUGUGUAGCGGUGAAAUGCGUAGAG
rnacentral:rRNA from 1 species